rnacentral:rRNA from 1 species
GUCCUACGGGGGGCAGCAGUGGGGAAUAUUGCACAAUGGGGGGAACCCUGAUGCAGCGACGCCGCGUGAGUGAAGAAGUAUUUCGGUAUGUAAAGCUCUAUCAGCAGGGAAGAAAAUGACGGUACCUCUUGAAUAAGCCACGGCUAACUACGUGCCAGCAGCCGCGGUAAUACGUAGGUGGCAAGCGUUGUCCGGAUUUACUGGGUGUAAAGGGCGUGUAGCCGGGCUGACAAGUCAGAUGUGAAAUCCGGGGGCUCAACCCCCGAACUGCAUUUGAAACUGUUGGUCUUGAGUAUCGGAGAGGC